rnacentral:tRNA from 1 species
GGCACGGUGGUGCAGUGGGUAGCACUGUCGCCUCACAGCAAGAAGGUCCUGGGUUCGAAUCUGGCCUGUUCUC